GGAUGGUCUCAUCCUUCUUCUCACCCUCUCACCCGAACCGUUUUUCUCUCGACUGAUUCUUUUUCUUCUCUCCUUCCUCUCGCCGCCGCCGCCUCUCCCCUUUGCUCCGCCAGCGCGGCUCUGCCCCUACCGCGCGGCCUCGCUCCCUCCCUCCCGCCGCCGCCGCCGCCUCUCCCCUUUGCUUCGCCGGCGCGGCUCUGCCCCUGCCGCGAGGCCCCCGCUCCCUCCCGCCGCCGGCGCAUCUCCCCUAUGCUCCGCUGGCGCCGCUCCCUCCCGCAGCCGCCCGAAGGCUGCUGCUCCGGCGCCCCGCCUGGCAGCCCGCGAGGAGCUCCCGCGCCCCGCUCCCAAGCGACUGGUACAGAGCCCGCGGCCCGCCCGCUGCACGCGCUGAGUCGCCGCCGCCGCAUGGUCUCCCCUCCGGCGCCCUUCUCCUAGGCGCGCGCGUCUCAUGUCCCCAAGGCGCAUGCGGCUCCUCGCGCCGGCGAGCACGCACGUCUCCUCUCUCCCCUUUUCAUCUUUCCUCCCUCCAGCGGCCCAGCUCCGUCGAUCUCUCUUCGGUUAAUACAGUUACUCGGUUCGGUCGGUUAAUUCGGUUAUUCGGUUUAAUAAGAUGUUACACAAACGUUUCUCAGCCCAACUGGCUCGGAGGGGCAGCGGGGGCACAGGGGACGGGAGUUCGACUACCCAGCGAAAGCCAUUCGGUUCGGCUUUCCUGAAACCGGACCCGAAACCGAAAACCGGAAUUUCGGUUCGGCUUCCGGUUCGGUUUUGCACGGAGUGACCCGGUGAGCUUUAUCGAUCUCCCUUCUUAUCUCUGUUCAUUUCUGAACAGUUCUUAUCUUUGUUCGACUCCCUAGCGAAGCAAAUUUUUCCUUUGCUGGGGUUGGUUUCGGUUUAACCAAAAACCGGUCGGUUUGUAAUUGAAAAAACCGAAAGCCAUUCGGUUCAACUUUCUUGAAACCGGACCCGAAACCGAAAACCGGAAUUUCGGUUCAGCUUCCGGUUCGGUUUUGCACGGGAUGACCCGGUGAGCUUUAUCGAUCUCCCUUCUUAUCUUUGUUCGUUUCUGAAUAGUUCUUAUCUCUGUUCGUUUCUGUCCAUGCAGAGGGAGGAACGGCUACCGCGAGGGCGAUUUGUGAUUGAUAAUUUUGUGGAUCUGGGAUUUGCGAUUCUGCGUAUCUUAAUUGUUUUUGUGUACGUCGAUAUCUGUAAUCCAUAACCACAUAUUACAUGUUGAUUGAUAUCAAAUUAUGUUAAAAUUUGUAAUUUGAAAUUAAACCCUUCAAUUUCCAAUACCAUGCCAUCCAUUCUUCAUCCAUCUAAUCAAACAGAUGUCGUGCUCAUCCAACUUAAACAACCAAACACAGGACAGCAAUAUCUCUAUCCAUGCCAUCCAUGACUAUUCCUGUCCACUUUUGCUCCCUCGCCGGGGAACCGAACGCACCCUUGGCCCGUCCAGAGUCCAGACCAUUGGUGCAGAUGGCUCAAGGAUAUUGGUCUGGGUAUCGUCAUUGACGUGACCAGCCGGCCGUUUCCAGUCUUCUGUCCAGACCAGACAUAAGUAGUACUUCAUUGUGCUUGCCUAUUCGUAGUUUGAAAAUGUAACGACACGUCUUGUUUGCAAUUUUAAAAUAUAUAGAAGGGGCAGGCAGCACAUAAUUAAAGGCAUUUCUUUACCUCUA